rnacentral:rRNA from 1 species
AGUGAACGCUGGCGGCGUGCUUAACACAUGCAAGUCGAACGAUGAAGCCCUUCGGGAUGGAUUAGUGGCGCACGGGUGAGUAAUAUAUAGGUAAUGUGCCUCUUAGUCUGGGAUAGCCACUGGAAACGGUGAUUAAUACUAGAUACUCCUUCUUACUUCAAGGUAAGUCGGGAAAGUUUUUUCGCUAAGAGAUCGGCCUAUAUCCUAUCAGUUAGUUGGUGAGGUAAUGGCUCACCAAGGCGAUGACGGGUAGCGGGUUUGAGAGGAUGAUCCGCCACACUGGUACUGAGACACGGACCAGACUCCUACGGGAGGCAGCAGUGAGGAAUAUUGCACAAUGGGGGAAACCCUGAUGCAGCAACGCCGCGUGGAGGAUGACGCAUUUCGGUGUGUAAACUCCUUUUAUGAGUCAAGAAAAUGACGGUAGCUCAUGAAUAAGCACCGGCUAACUCCGUGCCAGCAGCCGCGGUAAAGUCCAC